UACGUAGGGUGCAAGCGUUAAUCGGAAUUACUGGGCGUAAAGCGUGCGCAGGCGGUUAUGCAAGACAGAUGUGAAAUCCCCGGGCUCAACCUGGGAACUGCAUUUGUGACUGCAUGGCUAGAGUGCGGCAGAGGGGGAUGGAAUUCCGCGUGUAGCAGUGAAAUGCGUAGAUAUGCGGAGGAACACCGAUGGCGAAGGCAAUCCCCUGGGCCUGCACUGACGCUCAUGCACGAAAGCGUGGGGAGCAA
rnacentral:rRNA from 1 species